AUCGCUUCUCGGCCUUUUGGCUAAGAUCAAGUGUAAAAAUAUUCAAUCAAAUUAUGAAUACAAAGGGGAAAAAACAAUAGCCAUAUAAACAAAUUUCCACAUAUUUCCACAUAUUUAGUUUUACUUAUAGUAGUUAACACAUUAGCUUACCAUAA
rnacentral:snRNA from 1 species